AAAACUAAUCAAAAAUUUUAAAUCCAGGGAAUAUCGUAAUUGCGUUUAGCGCCCCUAUUGCUCGUGAUCGACGGGUACUUUUUGGGCAGACGGUCGGACUCGGGAGAGAGUCGGCCGCGGUUAUGUUAACUCGAGGGAAAUGGUGGUUGGCACUUUCGCUGUUAGGAGGGUUCGUGAAUGCAAGUCCAGCUACGGUCGCUCUUUUCGAUUUUGGGCCCCACUUCAGAAGGUAGUGUUUGUGGUGGAAAGAGGAAAUAUUAGCGGAAAAACAUAACUAAACCUCGCGCCAGUGCUAAAUCAAAGAAAAAAAGACAAACAAAAGAAUCGUGUUGCUUUCAAAUUAUACCAUAAAGAAAUCGAAAAGAAAUUUGCCACCCCAGUAAGGGGGCGUUCCAUUCUGACCCCACGCCGGAGGCAAGGCAUCCGAAAGUGGUCUCUUUUUUUUGUUUCGGACGGCCAUUUGCAAGUUAAUAUAACAAGAGUGCCAAUCGCCACAUAGCGAAUUGGCACGUUGUGCCAAGCAGAUUUCCAAGGGAGAAUAGCGGAAAAAGAUAAUUGGGAUCGAUGACCGAGCCGGCCGCAGCCACAACCAGCUGGCCAUAGAAAGGGAAGAGAAGAGACUGCGCUCCCGAAAAAAAAAAAAGCACAAGAACCGAUCGAAUUCGCCGCUGGCGCAGAGAAGCGCAAGGCAGAGAGUCCGCCGCUCCAGCUGUGGGUCCGACUCAGUGCAUCAGCAGCAUCGUCGGCGCCGGGAAGCUGCGAAACUAAAAGCGGAAUAUUGAACAUUUUUUUUUGGCCCCCAAGUUUUUUUGCGUAAAUAUCUUGCCCUCGGCCGACCUGGCUUAGUGAAAAAAAAGUAGAGGAAAUAAAAACCCAGAUCAAAAUUAUACCCAUGAGCCAAUAGGCAAGGUCUUACAAUUAUAGCAAGCGGAUCGUCUUCGACAAAAGCGCUUUUGGAGAUGGAUGGCACGUAAGUGAAAGAAUAUUGCUUUACUCUAAAUAAAUUGCAUGCAUGAGCGUGAGAGAAGGAGAGGUAUAGGAAAGAAAGAGGGGGAGAGGUAAAACAGUUGGGCAGAUCCACAUGCCGGAAGAGAUAGCAAGAACAGUA